rnacentral:lncRNA from 1 species
UUAUCAAAUAAUUUGCUUUAUCUGUUUCCUUCCAUGUAGGGUCCACCUGGUCCCCAAGGAAUAAAAGGAGACCGUGGAUCUCCUGGAGGCCCUGUGAGUAUCUCUUAGACUUAGUCACUGAUAAAUAACUCUAUUACAACAAACAUGAUGUAAAUGAAAAAGCCGACCUUCAGUGACUUUAAUAGCUGAAUAGCUGAAUAGUGACUUUAAUAAUUAAAGUGUUCCAGAAGGAGUAAUUAAUGGAGUAAUUGAAGCGUUUAGUGAUCUGGAUUAUAUUGAUUUUAAUAUAAGUAAGGUGCCAAAAUAGCUUUUGGCACAAUGACCCAAAGCUAUAAAAAGGCUUAUCUCAACAGUUAUUACAUUUACAUGCCAUCUUUGCCAAGUUUCUCAGAGCCCGUUAGCUCACCUCUGAGGACAAGUGUAGGACCUUCCCUUAAAAAAUAAUUAAUUAAUUUGUUAAUUAGUACUUCAGUUCCAGGGCAUUUAAUUCAAGUUUUAAGCAAAAUGGCUAAAUAUAAUUCAAAGCCAGCUGUUACAUAAAAAUCAAUUUGUUCAUGUUUUUCCAAUCUUCAGAAAAUGACAACUAAAAGUAUUGGUCUUUUGUAGGGUGCUGCUGGUUUCCCUGGUGCUCGUGGUCUGCCCGGUCCCCCUGGUAACAAUGGUAGUCCAGGUCCCCCUGGUAACGCAGGGCCUGCAGGCAAGGAUGGGCCUCCCGGACCCCCUGGUAGUGCUGGUUCUCCUGGAAGUCCAGGACCUUCUGGAACAAGAGGUGAGCCUGGCCCACCAGGUGAAAAAGGAUCACCAGGCACACGAGGAGAAAGGGGGGCACCAGGAGAACCAGGUCCUCAAGGCAUCGUUGGUGGCCGGGGUAACACGGGUUUGCCAGGUCUGCGUGGCCCCAGCGGCCCCCCUGGUAUGGCGGGUGCCAAGGUGAGAGUGCACUCACUGCAGCAAUAGCUCAAAGCUGCUGCAGGAGCUGUAAGCCAGCUGCUAAACAUACCUUUGCCUUACAGAAAGUAAUGAAUGUGUUGUGUUUUCAG